GACGAACGCUGGCGGCGUGCCUAACACAUGCAAGUCGAACGAGAAUCUUAAAGACGGAGGCUUCGGCCAAAGACUUUAAGAGGAAAGUGGCGGACGGGUGAGUAACGCGUGAGUAACCUGCCUCUAAGAGGGGGACAACAGUUGGAAACGACUGCUAAUACCGCAUAAAGUUAUUGUGUCGCAUGACACGGAUAACCAAAGAUUUUAUCGCUUAGAGAUGGACUCGCGUCUGAUUAGAUAGUUGGUGAGGUAACGGCUCACCAAGUCGACGAUCAGUAGCCGGACUGAGAGGUUGAACGGCCACAUUGGGACUGAGAUACGGCCCAGACUCCUACGGGAGCAGCAGUGGGGAAUAUUGCGCAAUGGGGGCAACCCUGACGCAGCAACGCCGCGUGAGUGAAGAAGUAUUUCGGUAUGUAAAGCUCUAUCAGCAGGGAAGAUAAUGACGGUACCUGACUAAGAAGCUCCGGCUAAAUACGUG
rnacentral:rRNA from 1 species